AGAGUUUGAUCCUAGCUCAGGGCGAAUGCUAGCGGUGCGCCUAACACAUGCAAGUCGAGCGAGAAAUUUUCUAGCUUGCUAGAGAAUGGAAAGCGGCGAACGGGUGAGUAAUAUGUUGAUAUUUGCCCCUAGGUCAGGGAUAGCCCAUUGAAAAGUGGAUUAAUACCGGAUAGUCUCUUCGGAGUAAAAAUUUAUUGCCUAGGGAGAAGUCUUCAUUCUAUCAGCUUGUUGGUAAGGUAAUGGCUUACCAAGGCUAUGACGGAUAAUUGAUCUGAGAGGAUGAUCAGUCACAAUGGAACUGAGACACGGUCCAUACUUCUACGGAAGGCAGCAGUGAGGAAUCUUCCACAAUGGACGAAAGUCUGAUGGAGCGACACCGCGUGAAGGAUGAAGGCCUAACGGUUGUAAACUUCUUUUCUGGAGGAGCAUAAUGAGAGUACUCCAGGAAUAAGGGGCGGCUAAUUACGUGCCAGCAGCCGCGGUAAUACGUAAGCCCCAAGCAUUGCCCGGAAUUACUGGGUGUAAAGGGUUCGUAGGUGGAUUAAUAAGUUGUAUAUGAAAGACCGAAGCUUAACUUCGUGUUUGUGUACAAAACUGUUAAUCUGGAAUCAGGGAGAGGUAAGCGGAAUUCUGAGUGUAGGGGUGCAAUCCGUAGAUACUCAGAGGAACACCAAAAGCGAAGGCAGCUUACUGGAACUGUAUUGACGCUCAUGAACGAAAGCGUGGGUAGCGAAAAGGAUUAGAUACCCUUGUAGUCCACGCCCUAAACGAUGAUAACUAAGUGUUGGGAUUUGUCUCAGUGCUGUAGCUAACGCGUUAAGUUAUCCACCUGAGGAGUACGGUCGCAAGAUUAAAACUCAAAGGAAUAGACGGGGACCCACACAAGCAGUGGAUCAAAACGGGGAACCUUACCCAGACUUGACAUCCUAGGAAUUCUUUAGAGAUAAAGAAGUGCUUUUAUUAGAACCUAGAGACAGGUGCUGCAUGGUUGUCGUCAGCUCGUGCCUUGAGGUGUUCGGUUAAGUCCGUUAACGAGCGCAACCCAUGUUCUUAGUUAUUAUGUCUAAGAAGACUGCCUUGGUUAACAAGGAGGAAGGUGUGGAUGACGUCAAAUCAGCAUGGCUUUUACGUCUGGGGCCACACACAUGAUACAAUGGUCUAUACAAAGAGUCGCAAUAUAGUAAUAUUGAGCAAAUCUUAAAAGUAGAUCUCAGUCCGGAUUGAGGUCUGAAACUCGACCUCAUGAAGUUGGAAUUGCUAGUAAUCGUGAAUCAGAUAUGUCACGGUGAAUAUGUUCCUGGGUCUUGUACUCACCGCCCGUCACGGCAUGGAAGGUAGUAAUAUUGGAAGUCCCUCUUUUAGAGGGCCCAUAGUAGGACUACUAACUAGGCUGAAGUCGUAACAAGGUAUCCGUAGGAGAACCUGCGGAUG
rnacentral:rRNA from 1 species